rnacentral:lncRNA from 10 species
GAAUAGAAAGUAGGCAGGCUUCUGGGUGGAUGGGGCCCAGCACCCACAGCCUAGGCUGGCUGCCUGAGAGUAGCGAGUGACAGGUAAGGGCUCUGAACCUUCCUGCGUGCUACCCAAGGAGUGCCUAGGGCUACCAGGAGGCCCAGGGAGGAACCUUGAGACCUGAGAAAGGCUUUUCUUCCCCGAGAGGACCACUGCUCAGGCUCAGAGGCCAUGGGGUGAAGUGCACAAAAAAGUGGGCGUCCAGCCAUGCUCUAAGUCCCCCGAAGAUGAAGACCAGGGAGCAGCUUCCUCCAAUGAAGCAGCAGCAAUCAGAGGACCAGGAGGCUGAAGCCCUGAGCCCAGCCAGAGGCAGGAUCAGCCAAGUCUGGGACAGGCUUCAAUUAUUUUAGGGGACAUCCACCUUCUGUCUUCAAACAGCAGAGCUUCUGGUUCCUGGGCCUUCAGACUUGGACUAGAACUUCACUACCAGCUUUCCUGGGUCUCCAGCUUGCAGAGAGCAGAUCGCAGAACUUCUUAGCCUCCAUAAUCACAAGAACGUGUUUGCUUCCCCUUCCACCAUGAUUGUAAGUUUCCUGAGGCCUCCCCAGUCCUGCAGAACUGCUUUGAAGAAGACCACUGCGUCGGUAUUUGUGAAAUGUUUUGAGCCUCUGGAUUUAAAUAAGUAUAUGUCCUCUGCGCCCCCAUACCAUGGUGUAAGCCCCAGGAGAGCAGAAACUUCCUUUGUCUACCCGACAGGGCUGAAGCCUCAGAGUCUGGAUCAGUGUCAGGUACGGAGAAGGUGCUCUGGUGGAAACCUCAGUGGCAACGUUCAGCUCACAGUGGGAAACUCGGGCCUUCAGACCAGGGAAGGGGGCCGUUUGAAGAUAUGAGUCUGGAGUGUGACUGAUGAAGCCAAAAGCAGGCACAAACUCUCUUUUUAUGACCAACUUUGGAUAAUGAGCUCAAGCCAUGUAUAAAAACAUUCCCCAAAAGUGCUUUUCUAGAUGAAAGGGAGAAAAAUAGCUAAAGUGAUCCAUCUUCCUUUCUUUGAGGAAGGUUGGCACCGCUUCUGUUGCUUCCAGGAAGAUUGCAUACACAUGUAAAACCGGAAAAACGUUAAUGAAGAGAAAAACUAAAAG